UGUUCUCCUGCCUUGAGUUCCUGCCUCAGCUACCCUGGGCAGACUGAAACCUGCUGUCAUAAGAAAGCUGCUAUGGUUCAUUAAGGAGUUCCAGAAGUGGACAGAAGCAUUCUUGAUCAUUUCUUAUAAUAGACAUUUUUUGAAAACCAAAGAGAUCUGGAGUAUCCCAGGUGGACCGAGUAUCUCUGGAUAGGAAAGCAGACUUCAUUCAACAUCUGUGGGCUGUUAGGCUCUGGGAUGCUUCUGAUGAGAGGAUAGGCAAACCUCCCUGAAUAGUACCUACCACUCAGGACUGCAGGGAACUGAGCAGAGAUAGAAUCUUCCAUCCCCGAAGACCCGCUUUCCAGCCUACAAAAGCCGGCGCAUGCGCAGUUUCCUCCUCCACAGACCAACUGCACCCCUUCAGUUGUUCUGAUGAAAAGAAAAUUCUGCUUCUGGAGAUGCCUGUCUUUCUGUUUCCACCUCAACCUCCCCAUCAGUCGGACAGGCAGUGCUUUCAGGUGACGGCCCAGAUCAGGAGGCAGAAGGAAGAUUUCCCACGUUUGCUGGCCCAUUUACCAGCCAGCAACAUUGUAGCUGCUACUGCUUCCUUCAUUGACAUCAGAGUCAGCAUUUCCAGGUCUCUAUCACGGGCUGAGGACCAGAGACUCUUUUGGAGCUCUC
rnacentral:lncRNA from 1 species